rnacentral:rRNA from 1 species
GGACUAACGCCGAUAUGCUUCGGGGAGCUGUAAGUAAGCUUUGAUCCGAAGAUUUCCGAAUGGGGAAACCCACUAUACGUAAUGGUAUGGUAUCCUUACCUGAAUACAUAGGGUAUGGAAGACAGACCCAGGGAACUGAAACAUCUAAGUACCUGGAGGAAGAGAAAGCAAAUGCGAUUUCCUGAGUAGCGGCGAGCGAAACGGAACAUAGCCCAAACCAAGAGGCUUGCCUCUUGGGGUUGUAGGACAUUCUAUACGGAGUUACAAAGGAACGAGGUAGACGAAGCGACCUGGAAAGGUCCGUCGUAGAGGGUAACAACCCCGUAGUCGAAACUUCGUUCUCUCUUGAAUGUAUCCUGAGUACGGCGGAACACGUGAAAUUCCGUCGGAAUCUGGGAGGACCAUCUCCCAAGGCUAAAUACUCCCUAGUGAUCGAUAGUGAACCAGUACCGUGAGGGAAAGGUGAAAAGCACCCCGGAAGGGGAGUGAAAGAGAUCCUGAAACCGUGUGCCUACAAAUAGUCAGAGCCCGUUAAUGGGUGAUGGCGUGCCUUUUGUAGAAUGAACCGGCGAGUUACGAUCCCGUGCAAGGUUAAGCUGAAGAGGCGGAGCCGCAGCGAAAGCGAGUCUGAAUAGGGCGUUUAGUACGUGGUCGUAGACCCGAAACCAGGUGAUCUACCCAUGUCCAGGGUGAAGUUCAGGUAACACUGAAUGGAGGCCCGAACCCACGCACGUUGAAAAGUGCGGGGAUGAGGUGUGGGUAGCGGAGAAAUUCCAAUCGAACCUGGAGAUAGCUGGUUCUCCCCGAAAUAGCUUUAGGGCUAGCCUUAAGUGUAAGAGUCUUGGAGGUAGAGCACUGAUUGAACUAGGGGUCCUCAUCGGAUUACCGAAUUCAGUCAAACUCCGAAUGCCAAUGACUUAUCCUUAGGAGUCAGACUGCGAGUGAUAAGAUCCGUAGUCAAGAGGGAAACAGCCCAGAUCGCCAGCUAAGGUCCCAAAGUGUGUAUUAAGUGGAAAAGGAUGUGGAGUUGCUUAGACAACUAGGAUGUUGGCUUAGAAGCAGCCACCAUUUAAAGAGUGCGUAAUAGCUCACUAGUCGAGUGACUCUGCGCCGAAAAUGUACCGGGGCUAAAUACACCACCGAAGCUGCGAAUUGAUACCAAUGG